rnacentral:rRNA from 1 species
CAAUAGGGAAUCUUCCACAAUGGGCGAAAGCCUGAUGGAGCAACGCCGCGUGUGUGAUGAAGGGUUUCGGCUCGUAAACACUGUUGUAAGAGAAGAAUGACAUUGAGAGUAACUGUUCAAUGUGUGACGGUAUCUUACCAGAAAGGAACGGCUAAAUACGUACCAG